rnacentral:rRNA from 1 species
AACGAACGCUGGCGGCGCGUUUUACGCAUGCAAGUCGGACGGCAAUUGUUGUAGCAAUAUGACGAUGAGAGUGGCAAACGGGUGAGUAACACGUAGGUGAUCUACCCCUGGACGGGGGAUAGUCCGUGGAAACACGGGGUAAUACCGCAUGAGGCCUUAUGGGUAAAGCCAUGAGGUGAAAGGUCCAAUUGGACCAUCUGGGGAUGAGCCUGCGGCCCAUUAGGUAGUUGGCGGGGUAAGAGCCCACCAAGCCGACGAUGGGUAGCCGGCCUGAGAGGGUGGACGGCCACACUGGAACUGAGACACGGUCCAGACUCCUACGGGUGGCAGU